GGGUAUAGGGUGAGAGUGGGAGUGAAAAAGGGAAUUACGAAAAAAAGAAUAAUAGCAACCUUCUCAUCAUGAUAUAACAAUUGUUACUUUCUUUACACUUAAAACAAUAUCAUUAAUAGAUCACACAAAUUAGUUUUUUGUUUUCCAAGUUUACCUUUAUUAAAUAUUUUAUUAUUAUUUUUUAAUAACAAGCUAGAUUUUUUUAUUUUUUAUUUUUUACAACUUUCUUACCACCUUGUUAAAAAAUGAAAUAAGAAAUAAAAUUUGAAUUUUUUUUAUAAAUUUUUUUUUUCUAGAGAGAACGUAU
rnacentral:lncRNA from 1 species